GAUGAACGCUGGCGGCGUGCUUAACACAUGCAAGUCGAACGAAGCACUUUAUUUGAUUUCCUUCGGGACUGAUUAUUUUGUGACUGAGUGGCGGACGGGUGAGUAACGCGUGGGUAACCUGCCUUGUACAGGGGGAUAACAGUUGGAAACGGCUGCUAAUACCGCAUAAGCGCACAGCAUCGCAUGAUGCAGUGUGAAAAACUCCGGUGGUAUAAGAUGGACCCGCGUUGGAUUAGCUAGUUGGUGAGGUAACGGCCCACCAAGGCGACGAUCCAUAGCCGAGCUGGGGGAGGGACCGGCCACAUUGGGGCUGAGACACGGCCCAAACUCCUACGGAAGGCAGCAGUGGGGAAUAUUGCACGAUGAGCGAAAGCCUGAUGCAGCGACGCCGCGUAAGCGAGGAAGUAGUUCGGUAUGUAAAGCUCUAUCAGCAGGAGAGAUAGUGACGGUACCUGACUAAGAAGCACCGGCUAACUACGUG
rnacentral:rRNA from 1 species